GGAGGGGUGGCCGAGCGGUUAAUGGCAACAGACUGUAAAUCUGUCGACGAAAGUCUUCGGAGGUUCGAAUCCUCCCCCCUCCA
rnacentral:tRNA from 1 species